UUUCCUUUGAAAAAAGUACCAACUUCGUUUUACAACUUUCAAGGUACAUUAUUGAGAGUACUUUAGCUCCAUCUGCUGGAAGUUUUAAGCAAUUACCUAUUACCAUGUUCCUUUUUCUCCCAAGCCACUUCACGUCUUCAACAUGUAUAGGAUUAAGAAAAACAAACAAGUAUGGAGAAACUCUUGCCCUGAAUGCCAUUUACAGUGCUUGAUUGUAUCUUACCAUAUCUGUUAAAUAAUGAGAAAGCACCAAUCAUCUUUGAAUCGAAUUAUUGCUGUGGAUGCUACCAUGAGGGUCCUAUUCUCGCUUUAGACCAGAAGUCAGCACAGAUGAAUAUUAUAUAAACAUUACUGGAGCCAGAGAGUGGACCACUUUGUAACUUUAGUAAAAUUAUCCUUCUUCAAACUCCUAUUCUGUUCAAAGCUGUUUUCCCAACUCCGUUCACAUUCCCUAUUCUUGGUAAUUUAUGAUGUGGUAAUUUGUGAUGGUUCUAACUUGAAACAUUCUUUCCUGCAUUUUGGAAUUCACAUUCAGAGCUCCCAGAUGAGAUCGGCAUUAUUUUCCCUAAUUUUUCAACAGCUCACUAAUGAUGCUAAUAAUAGCUCACGUUUUUCAAAAGCUCACAAUGUGCCUGAGGUGGAGUCACAUGUAAGUAUCUGUGAAGCAGACACUGUCUGUGUUUAGAAGAGCUGUAGUAAACAGCUCAAGGUCAAAGAGUUAGGAGGGAAGCAGCAGGCUUGAUGGAGUCAUUUGGCUCAGAGACAUUUCCUUCCUAACUGUCUCACUUGGUGAACGCAAAGGACGUACUUUGUUUUGAUAACACCCUUUCAUAAAUACUACAGCAUUUUUUAAGCAGCUGCAAUGUGUCAGGCUCCCUCCUGGGAAUCUAGGGAAACAGUCUUAGCCCAAGAAACUUCACAUUCCAGUGGUAGAUAAAUAAAGCGACGAAAGUAAACUGAAACCAGUCUGAUGUAGCUAGUGCUGUGGUGGAAGAUCUAGGCACGGUAAAGCAUUUCUGUUUCUAGCUUCACAUACAGCGGAACCAGCUAUACUUAAUGCCACCAAUAGCAGCUUCACAGUCGCAUUGCCUCCAGCCAAGACACAGCAUACUUGGAAUGGCCUCUCUGGCCCAACCCCAGCACACCUGGUUUAUUAUGCAGAACUGAAUGGAAGCACAAACAACUCUCACCUGAAGUAAAAAAUACUGGUGAGACCGAAGCUAGUCAUUUCUGUGUUUGUCACGAGAGGCCCUCAGCCACAGCAAAGCCUUUCCCAUAUGUUCUGAGGUGUACUACUCUGCAGGCCUUACAGCUGCUGAUUCAUCAAAACACAC
rnacentral:lncRNA from 1 species